rnacentral:rRNA from 1 species
AGAGUUUGAUCCUGGCUCAGAACGUACGCUGGCGGCACGCUUUAUACAUGCAAGUCGAACGAAGUAGCAAUACUUAGUGGCAGACGGGUGAGUAACAUGUGGGUAUCUUCCCUUUGGUGAGGAAUAACACGAGGAAACUUGUGCUAAUACCUCAUAAGUCUUUACGGAGAAAGCUUUAUGCGCCAAUGGAUGAGCCCGCACUUGAUUAGUUUGUUGGUGGGGUAAUGGCCUACCAAGACUUUGAUCAAUAGCUGAUCUGAGAGGAUGAUCAGCCACAUUGGGACUGAGACACGGCCCAAACUCCUACGGGAGGCAGCAGUAGGGAAUAUUGCACAAUGGAGGAAACUCUGAUGCAGCGAUGCCGCGUGAGUGAAGAAGGCCUUUGGGUUGUAAAGCUCUUUCGUCGGGGAAGAAAAUGACGGUACCCGAAUAAGAAGGUCCGGCUAACUUCGUGCCAGCAGCCGCGGUAAUACGAAGGGACCUAGCGUAGUUCGGAAUUACUGGGCUUAAAGAGUUCGUAGGUGGUUAAAAAAGUUGGUUGUGAAAUCCCGAAGCUUAACUUCGGAACUGCAAUCAAAACUUUUUAGCUAGAGUAUGAUAGAGGAAAGCAGAAUUUCUAGUGUAGAGGUGAAAUUCGUAGAUAUUAGAAAGAAUACCAAUUGCGAAGGCAGCUUUCUGGAUCAUUACUGACGCUGAGGAACGAAAGCAUGGGUAGCGAAGAGGAUUAGAUACCCUCGUAGUCCAUGCCGUAAACGAUGUGUGUUAGACGUUGGAAAUUUAUUUUCAGUGUCGCAGCGAAAGCAGUAAACACACCGCCUGGGGAGUACGACCGCAAGGUUAAAACUCAAAGGAAUUGACGG